UGCUGCAUGGCUGUCGUCAGCUCGUGUUGUGAAAUGUUGGGUUAAGUCCCGCAACGAGCGCAACCCUUAUCCUUUGUUGCCAGCGGUUAGGCCGGGAACUCAAAGGAGACUGCCAGUGAUAAACUGGAGGAAGGUGGGGAUGACGUCAAGUCAUCAUGGCCCUUACGACCAGGGCUACACACGUGCUACAAUGGCGCAUACAAAGAGAAGCGACCUCGCGAGAGCAAGCGGACCUCAUAAAGUGCGUCGUAGUCCGGAUUGGAGUCUGCAACUCGACUCCAUGAAGUCGGAAUCGCUAGUAAUCGUGGAUCAGAAUGCCACGGUGAAUACGUUCCCGGGCCUUGUACACACCGCCCGUCACACCAUGGGAGUGGGUUGCAAAAGAAGUAGGUAGCUUAACCUUCGGGAGGGCGCUUACCACUUUGUGAUUCAUGACUGGGGUGAAGUCGUAACAAGGUAACCGUAGGGGAACCUGCGGUUGGA
rnacentral:rRNA from 1 species